AUUGAACGCUGGCGGCAGGCCUAACACAUGCAAGUCGAGCGGAUGAAGGGAGCUUGCUCCUGGAUUCAGCGGCGGACGGGUGAGUAAUGCCUAGGAAUCUGCCUGGUAGUGGGGGAUAACGUCCGGAAACGGGCGCUAAUACCGCAUACGUCCUGAGGGAGAAAGUGGGGGAUCUUCGGACCUCACGCUAUCAGAUGAGCCUAGGUCGGAUUAGCUAGUUGGUGGGGUAAAGGCCUACCAAGGCGACGAUCCGUAACUGGUCUGAGUGGAUGAUCAGUCACACUGGAACUGAGACACGGUCCAGACUCCUACGGGAGGCAGCAGUGGGGAAUAUUGGACAAUGGGCGAAAGCCUGAUCCAGCCAUGCCGCGUGUGUGAAGAAGGUCUUCGGAUUGUAAAGCACUUUUAGUUGGGAAGAAGGGCAGUAAGUUAAUACCUUGCUGUUUUGACGUUACCAACAGAAUAAGCACCGGCUAACUUCGUG
rnacentral:rRNA from 1 species